rnacentral:rRNA from 1 species
CAGUAGCCGCGGGAAAACGAAGGGGGCUAGCGUUGCUCGGAAUUACUGGGCGUAAAGGGAGCGUAGGCGGACUGUUAAGUUGGGGGUGAAAGCCCGGGGCUCAACCUCGGAAUAGCCUUCAAUACUGGCAGUCUUGAGUAUGGGAGAGGUAAGCGGAACUCCGAGUGUAGAGGUGAAAUUCGUAGAUAUUCGGAAGAACACCAGUGGCGAAGGCGGCUUACUGGCCCAUUACUGACGCUGAGGCUCGAAAGCGUGGGGAGCAAACAGGAUUAGAUACCCCCGUAGUCCCUGUCUCUUAUAC